UUAACUUCAACCACAUCAGUUAUUACUAUGAAUCCAGGCAAGUUUGUAUAUAAACAUAAUCCAAACAAAUCGUGUUAUUGCAAUUUACUUGUAUAAAAACAUUUAUUUUAAAAAUGAUAGAUCUUGCAACUUUUAUAAUGGCAUUACAUCUGUCAAUCUGUUUCAUCAUUCAGUGCAGUAUCACCAUUAAUCAAAAGAUAAAGUGAAUAUCACUUUAUCUUCUUUUGAUUAAUGUUCCAAAUUCAUGUAUUGUUUUAAUAUUAAUUAGUUUAACAAUUUGCUUGUCUUAAUAUUAAGUAGUUUUAAUUAAAUAUUUUUUUAAUAUAAAAUUGCAAUUUUUUAUUAUUAUAUUGCAAUAUUGAUAUGUUUAUAUUUGUAUCAAAAAGCAUCUAUUUCUGUUUUUUUGAAAUUUAAAAAAAUCCUUUACUACUAGGACCAAAACAAAUGUAAUGCAGCAAAGAUGAAUUUUUAAUGAUGCUAAUACUUGGAUUACUGACUGCUGAUCUUGCUGACAGUUGAAUCAAUUGCAAUAGAUGGAAUAUCUUUAAAAGACAGAAUUCACAAAAUAAUGCUGAGAUAAAUCAAUUACAGUUAAUUGGUGGAACGUCUUCUAAAGAUAGAAUACACAAAAUUAUGCUGAGGUAAU
rnacentral:lncRNA from 1 species